rnacentral:rRNA from 1 species
GUUUAUGGCCAUGCCACCCUGAACAUGCUUGAUCUCAGAAGCUGAGCAGGGUUGGUACUGGUUAGUACCUGAAUGGAAGAUUAACAUUUCUUUCCUGGACAGAAUAUACCUGAGCAAAUGAGAAUUCUGCAAAGU